UGAGGAAUGAGGAUGGUUCUAGAACCCAUGC
rnacentral:piRNA from 1 species